GACAGAGGUCCCGAGCAUUAGGCGGAAUCACUGGGCUUAAAGCGUGUGUAGGCGGAUCUGUAAGUACCUUGUGAAAUCCCACGGCUCAACCGUGGAACUGCUUGGUAUACUGCGGAUCUUGAGCCACCUAGGGGCAAACCGGAACAAGUGGUGGAGCGGUGAAAUGCGUAGAUAUCACUUGGAACGCCAAGUGGUGAAACAGGUUGCUGGGGGUGUGCUGACGCUGGAGACACGAAAGCCAGGGGAGCAAACGGG
rnacentral:rRNA from 1 species